AACGUAGGUGGCUAGAGUUGUUCGGAAUCACUGGGCGUAAAGCGCACGUAGGCGGAUCAGUAAGUCAGGGGUGAAAUCCCGGGGCUCAACCUCGGAACUGCCUUUGCUACUGCUGGUCUCGAGUCCGGGAGAGGUGAGUGGAAUUCCUAGUGUAGAGGUGAAAUUCGUAGAUAUUAGGAAGAACACCAGUGGCGAAGGCGGCUCACUGGCCCGGUACUGACGCUGAGGUGCGAAAGCGUGGGGAGCAAACAGG
rnacentral:rRNA from 1 species